UACGUAGGGCGCAAGCGUUGUCCGGAAUUAUUGGGCGUAAAGAGCUCGUAGGCGGCUUGUCACGUCGGGUGUGAAAGCCCGGGGCUUAACCCCGGGUCUGCAUCGAUACGGGCAGGCGUAGAGUGUGGUAGGGGAGAUCGGAAUUCCUGGUGUAGCGGUGAAAUGCGCAGAUAUCAGGAGGAACACCGGUGGCGAAGGCGGAUCUCUGGGCCAUUACUGACGCUGAGGAGCGAAAGCGUGGGGAGCGAACAGG
rnacentral:rRNA from 1 species